rnacentral:rRNA from 1 species
UACCUGCACCCCGAGUGGUCGGGACGAUUAUUGGGCCUAAAGCAUCCGUAGCCGGUUCUACAAGUCUUCCGUUAAAUCCACCUGCUUAACAGAUGGGCUGCGGAGGAUACUAUAGAGCUAGGAGGCGGGAGAGGCAAGCGGUACUUAGUGGGUAGGGGUAAAAUCCGUUGAUCCAUUGAAGACCACCAGUGGCGAAGGCGGCUUGCCAGAACGCACUCGACGGUGAGGGAUGAAAGCUGGGGGAGCAAACCGG